GACGAAGGUGGCGACCGUUGUUCGGAAUCACUGGGCAUAAAGAGCUCGUAGGCGGUGAGGAAAGUCGGGUGUGAAAUCCCUUGGCCCAACCGAGGAACUGUGCUCGAAACUGCCUUGCUUGAGGACGGAAGGGGAUUACGGAAUUCCUGGUGGAGCGGUGAAAUGCGUUGAUAUCAGGAGGAAUACCGGCGGCGAAGGCGGUGGUCUGGUCCGUUUCUGACGCUGAGGAGCGAAAGCGUGGGGAGCGAACAGG
rnacentral:rRNA from 1 species